rnacentral:rRNA from 1 species
UGGCGGCAUGCUUAACACAUGCAAGUCGAACGGUAACAGGAGAGAGCUUGCUCUCUUGCUGACGAGUGGCGGACGGGUGAGUAAUACAUGGGAAUCUGCCCUGAGGUGGGGGAUAACCUGGGGAAACUCAGGCUAAUACCGCAUGAUCUCUACGGAGCAAAGUGGGGGACCUUCGGGCCUCACGCCUUGGGAUGAGCCCAUGUCUGAUUAGCUAGUUGGUGGGGUAAGAGCCUACCAAGGCGACGAUCAGUAGCCGGCCUGAGAGGGUGGACGGCCACACUGGGACUGAGACACGGCCCAGACUCCUACGGGAGGCAGCAGUGGGGAAUAUUGGACAAUGGGGGAAACCCUGAUCCAGCAAUGCCGCGUGUGUGAAGAAGGCCUGCGGGUUGUAAAGCACUUUUAUCGGGGAAGAAUAGGUUGUCGCUAAUA